CCUACGGGUGACAGCAGUGGGGAAUAUUGCACAAUGGGGGAAACCCUGAUGCCGCGACGCCGCGUGCGUGAAGAAGUAAUUCGUUAUGUAAAGCUCUAUCAGCAGGGAAGAAAAUGACGGUACCUGAGUAAGAAGCCCCGGCUAACUACGUGCCAGCCGCCGCGGUAAUACGUAGGGGGCAAGCGUUAUCCGGAUUUACUGGGUGUAAAGGGAGCGUAGACGGCGGUGCAAUGCUGGAGUGAAAGGCGGGGGCUCAACCCCCGGACUGCUCUGGAAACUGUACGGCUGGAGUGCAGGAGGGGUAAGUGGAAUUCCUAGUGUAGCGGUGAAAGGCGUAGAUAUUAGGAGGAACAACAGGGGCGAAGGCGGCUUACUGGACUGUAACUGACGUUGAGGCUCGAAAGCGUGGGGAGCAAACAGGAUUAGAUACCCCUGUAGUA
rnacentral:rRNA from 1 species